GACGAACGCUGGCGGCGUGCCUAAUACAUGCAAGUCGAACGCAGUGGGGACGGUUGAGUAACACGUGGGUAACCUCCCAUCAGAGGGGAUAACACUUGGAAACAGGUGCUAAACCGAUACUGAUGGAUGGACCCGCGGUGCAUUAGCUAGUUGUUGAGGUAAAGGCUCACCAAGGCCACGAUGCAGAGCUGACCUGAGAGGGUGAUCGGCCACACUGGGACUGAGACACGGCCCAGACUCCUACGGGAGGCAGCAGUAGGGAAUAUUGGACAAUGGACGAAAGUCUGACGGAGCAAUGCCGCGUGAGUGAAGAAGGUCUUAGGAUUGUAAAACUCUGUUGUUAGAGAGGCGGUAUCUAACCAGAAAGCCACGGCUAACUACGUGCCAGCAGCCGCGGUAAUAC
rnacentral:rRNA from 1 species